UCGUCUUUUCGUCGUCGCAGUUUGACGUAAGGCAAUACUCAAGCUUUUUGCGAUGGCGUGUUUUCGCCUAUUGAGUUAUCCUACAAAAACUGUAGCUGGCGCUAUUUGAGUACUUCGUAGAAUAAGUAGAUACUGAUAUGGAAAUAAGAGUGUGGACCGAUCUGAAUCAACGAACAAUAAACGCGUACGCUUCGUCCGAGAUAAAUACUAUUGACUAAAACACAGAUGGCCGAUUUCCACUGGGCGGCAGGUCUGCAUAAUUACCGGUAACAUCUCAGAUUCUAAGCCAGAAGCGUGAAUGAUAAAAAAACAAGAUCAUCAAACAUUUACACAAGUGCAUUGCAUCUGACUAUGUGGCCAAGUGGAAAUGACUGGAAUCGAUCGGCUAUUUGCAGUCCAUUUUACCUGCUACUUAUGGGUAGUCGUUUCUUGGAUGUCAAGAAAGCAAAAGAACAGAAUUUCUUUUGCUGUGGCUGCUCCUGACUCCCAUACUCCAAUAAAGGCACUUAGUAACUCAACAAAUUCCGCUAACCCUGCUCUUGGGACCCGUAGCGAGGAUCUAUCUCGAAUAUCCUUACCUUUCUUUGGGUCGAGCUCAAGCCCUUUUCCGCCAUCCGUUCAGAGAUCGCACUAAACGUCUUAGCGUGAAGCUCCAGUCCUACCGUGUUUGUCUGGACUGUCAUAGUCAAGUCGUUUGCAUAGAUAAAUAACUCAUCCGCCCAUGGAAGGUCCUGCAAACGCAGCGCGUUCUCGUUCGUUAUGUUUUACAAGAUUGGGCCCAGCAUCGGGCCCUAGGAAAUGCCCUCGCCGUCGUAAGCGCAGAAUCCCUACUCGUUAUUUUUCGGUUCUGCAGAUAAUUAGGACUUGAAGCAGUCAUCCCUGGUCUCUUUCAACAAAAGACAUCUGCCGUCUGAGGCGUUGCGUUGACGUCCAACGAAGUACAACACAGAAGAGUCGACAAUACAGCGUUUUUGUCGGAUCAAAUAAAGGGCCUUUAGAAAGACCU